rnacentral:rRNA from 1 species
CUACGGGUGGCAGCAGUGAGGAAUAUUGCACAAUGGGGGGGAGCCGGGGGAAGGAACGCCGCGUGGAGGGUGCCGCAUUUCGGUGUGUAAACUCCUUUUCUCUCCCAAGAAAAGGACGGGAGAAGAGGAAUAAGCACCGGCUAACUCCGUGCCAGCAGCCGCGGUAAUACGGAGGGUGCAAGCGUUACUCGGAAUCACUGGGCGUAAAGGACGCGUAGGCGGGUUGGAAAGUCAGGUGUGAAAUCCUACAGCUUAACUGUAGAACUGCACUUGAAACUUCUAAUCUAGAGUAUGGGAGGGGGAGAUGGAAUUAGUGGUGUAGGGGUAAAAUCCGUAGAUAUCACUAGGAAUACCUAAAGCGAAGGCGAUCUCCUGGAACAUUACUGACGCUAAGGCGUGAAAGCGUGGGGAGCAAACAGGAUUAGAUACCCCGGUAGUC